UACGUAGGGGGCAAGCGUUGUCCGGAUUUAUUGGGCGUAAAGAGCGUGUAGGCGGCUAGAUAGGUCCGUUGUGAAAACUCGAGGCUUAACCUCGAGAUGUCAUCGGAAACAUCUGGCUAGAGUCCGGAAGAGGCGAGUGGAACUCCUGGUGUAGCGGUGGAAUGCGCAGAUAUCAGGAAGAACACCAACGGCGAAGGCAGCUCGCUGGGACGGAACUGACGCUAAGGCGCGAAAGCGUGGGGAGCGAACAGG
rnacentral:rRNA from 1 species